UCAGUAGUCGUAGACAACAAGGUAGUGGCCUAUAUGUGCUAAGGUCUGACCACAUGUUCAGUUGUUCACCUAAAUGUUCAAUUACUUGAAACUGGAAUGCCUCAGGUACUUCUAUGUCCGAGCAUUCUAUGUACUUGAUUUAGAUUGGUGGUGUUUUAUUCCAUAGUUUCAUUUGCAGAGCAUAGCUGCUCUUGAAUGAAGAUCCAGGGCUGAUAAAAAUGGUUAGUUGUUGAAUGUGCAAUCUUCUAUUCACUAGCUUAUUCUCAAUGGGGAACGGCUUAUCAGUUAAGUUUAGCUGCUGUUACACAAACUUCCUUUUGCUACCUUCUUUACAUCACUAAGAGCUACUGAACCAAUUGUGACAAAUAACACACCAGGAUCUCUAUAUCUUUGACAUAUUCAUACCACAUAUGUAUUUCUAGAAUACCUGCCUGUUGAGUAACGAGAAACUGACGAAGUGCAAGGCGUAUGGUAUCUUAAGUCAAAUUAAUAUGCGAAUUCCAUUGAAUUUGCUUUUGUCUAAGUAGAUGUGUUAGGCCAGGAAGAAUCUGAGUUAUCUCAUGAAAUUGUCACUAGCCUAGAUAUAAGGAGAAUGGAUUAUUUUUUCCAAACUACAGACACACAACAUGAUUUCUUAUAUAAUCGUUACAAUAUAGACUAAUAAUUUUUAAAUUUAAAGGCAGCACGUGACUUGCCCAAAAAAGUGUCGUAUUUAGUUUAUUAAGUUAUUAAUAACAUACUGAUUCGUUACAAUGGCAGAAGCCCAUGUCGAGGCUGCAUUUGGACAAGUGAACCCUUCAAUUGCAAGAUCCUUUCUCACCCAUAAAAGCUCUUCAUCAAGUAGUGGUGCCUUACGUUUGCCACUCCCAUUUGUUCCAUAUUUACCUUCAUCUGAACGCUUACAGAGUAAUUUAUUAUCUAUUCUGCAAUAACUAUAUGAUGUCUGAAGUUACAACUUCUGCUGCAAUGUUACCCAAUCAGUCUAGCAAACCCGUUGGGUGGGAUUGGGGUGUUGGCUAAGUAUUUACCUGGAAAAUAAGAACACGACAGAGGACAAUUGAGCAUACAUACUGUAUUUAAUAAAGAUAGGACGAUCGCUAGCGGGUUGCAUCAAGCAACGAGGAACUACAGAUUCAAGGACGUCCAACUGCUCAACUAUUCCCCUCGCCAGCUAUGCUGCCAGCGAGGGCCGCAACGAGCAAUUGUUCCUUUUCUAAAGGCCACUUGUUUGCUCUUUUAAAUGAAGACAAUAACCCUCCACAUACCUGAAUCUUUCUAUAGCAGUACCUAUACACUAAUUCCUCCGGUGGUUUCAUCCAUGCGUCUGAAACCAGCUGGCCCUUUCUUCUUCCAGCAGCCAAACGAAAAUUUCAGUUUUUCUUUUAACGUAGGGAAUCCUCAAGGGAAAACAACUGAACACAAUGCAGUACCUAUGAUUGAAUGAGCUCCUGGAUUCUGAGCAGGUCCGUGUAUAAGAAGUUUAAUCGAUAGGUGUGAUGGUCAUUAUUUGUCCGGGUCAAAGCACAACUCGUGUUUCUCUGCAAUCUAAGGGGGUUGUCAUUUUGCUCUCAGAACAUGAGAUCUCAUCAGUGUCUGUGUUACUUCAAAACACAAAGAAAAUUAAACAAUGGGAUUUGCAUAGCUGACCUAGAAAACCUGGGGUUAGGGGUCUUUGUGUAUCUUGCUUUGAGGACUUUGUAGUAUUUGAUGAAAUAAUUGCGGAUGUCAAAUUAUUUGUCCUGAACUGAACACGUGUGUGUACUAAUCUACUUGGUUUUUUUGGGGUUUUAUAUUUAUAUAUACACUGAUGGAUUGCAUCGUGUGUUGUCACUUAGUAAGCUUGAUUUAAUAUGCAUCUUUAAUAUAAUAAUCACAUUUUCCCCAUAUGUUAUUGCAGCCAACAUUCAUUGUUUUGCUAAGCAAUGAGUGAAUUAGCUGUUGUAGCUACAAUACUUCGUUUACUCUUUCAGUAGAAAUAUUCUAUAUAAAGAAACCUAAAGAAACCAUGUGGUACAGGAAUGAUAAAGGUUUUGCAUUUUACAGGGGCUAUGGUUAUACUAUAUGAAAUUUUGUAGGAAAGCUAGGUAUUCCGUUGAGAUUAUUUGCAAUCAGCCAAUGGCGUUAGCUUUGAUUGUAUUUUCCUUCAGCCAUGCGAUUAUUAGCAAUCAUCACGAGGUUGUACUCUAUUUUUGCGUAACUUUUUGUAUAGAUUAUUAGCAACCAUCAUGACUGCCACUCUGAAGUUGAGGCCCUGCUCACUCUUGGCUAUAUGUAGAAAUUGAAGCUGACCUUUCGAGAAAGGCUCCAUUCAGUUCUAUGAUCCAGGCAUUCCGGUACAUGUCAAUAGAGAAUCUGAAGCUAUAACUCUUAUAAAGGCUCAUGUAUGGUGUGUUGCCUCUUUAUCUUGGAUCUUUUGUGGGAUCUGAUGAAUAUAUGGACAGAGAAGAUGGUUUAAGUUCAUUUCCUCAAUAGUCAUGUUUCGCAUUGAUCUUAUCAGAUCUCUAGCACUUCUCCGUCUUAAAAACUUUGGCUUCCAAUCAAACAGCAACUACAUUACAUGGGCAUGCAAAUUUUUUUUUGGUAAGGCCAGCUUUUCCUCAAAUCCAACCAGACUCAUAGUUUGCAAGUUGUCUAGAAACUCUUUGUGCAUGCUAAAUAUAAAUAUUCAGAGGAUGUGCCUUUUUGUCCGACAGUGUGCAUUGCAUGCUAAACACAUAUCACUCCACGACCUACUUCUCGCCUGACAGCCUGGAUCAAGCUUGAGAAGAGCAUCAUUGCCAAGUGAAGACGGGAGUGGCCAAAAUAGAGUUCGUGCAUGGAGUUAGAACAUUGUGUAAACGUAUAUUAUCAAAACUAGCAAGUCUACUAUUAUAGUGUGCGUGUUUACCAUAUUUCUCUAUGCCCUCCCACUAUUGGUGUAUACCAUUUACUUAUUUCUCAAGGUUAACUUUUUAUGCACAUAAUUUCAGUGUAUGAUUAUCA